UGGAUGUGAGCGCCUGGACGAGAAAGC
rnacentral:piRNA from 1 species